UUUUUUUUUUUUUUUAUGGCAUCGCGCUCCUGGCGCAUUCAGCCAAACGAGUAAAACGGGGAAACGGAAUUAAAGGAUUACAUUAUAAAGGAUAUGUCGGAAUUUGGAUAAGGAUCAGGGAAUGGUAAUAUAUUAUAAUUUUAUAUUAUGACGUGAGAGGAAUGAAUACAAUGAUUUAAAUAUAUAUGGAGAAGAAUUAUUAAUAUACAGGAGUGUUCUAAUAGAUGUGGGAAACGGAACUUUUAAAUCUGACAGCUGUCUUAAUAAUAUAGAACGGUCAUACAGGUUACAAUUACCUGAAAAGAAUAUAUGAUUAAGAUCAGCGGGAUCAGCUCCACAAAUACAUGCGGAACUGGCCACGCGAUUUUGUAGUUUCAGGUGUUCCGGUGUACAUACGUGACCCAAUCUCAUUCGAAUUAACAUACUGGUUGCAGGCUUUGGCAAAGAGAUUUUAGCAAACCAAGGUUUGGCAGGAAUUGAUCUUUGUAUGCUCCGAUAAUGUAACGCAGCGGCACCCGCACCAGAUGCCCAUAAUUUUGUCCAUUCCUUUCUUAGGUAUAUUUUAGGCAGUGCCAACAGGUCUUCAGCAACAUUCUUAAAUGGAAACAUGUCUCCAGAACUAAUGGCAUCACGAGCUAAGUCAUCCACCCUUUCAUUACCUUUAAUCCCUCUGUGUCCAGGGAUCCAGGCAAUGGAAACCGAGUAACCUUUAAGAUGACAUUUUUGCAGUAGACUACGGAUUUGAUAAAUAAUUGGGUUAUUAGAUUUAGAUUUGAAAGGAAAUUUAGAUAUUGAUUGAAGAGAACUUAAAGAGUCUGAAAAAAUGACUGUUUUUUUAAGAUGCAUUAUGAUGAUAAACUCUAAUGCUUUAAGGAUUCCAAAGCACUCACCACUAUACACAGAGGAUUCUGGAGGCAAUUUUAUCUUUUGGUAAAUAUUAGAUUGAAUGUGAAGCACACCAAUACCGACACAACCAUUGAUGGACAUCUUAGAAGCAUCUGUAUACAUAUGGUUAGCACCCUGAUAAUCAGUAUCAAUAAAACUCAGAAAUUGUUGAUUUUGAUCUAUAUCAUUCUUUGAUAUACCUAUAUCCAGGAGAACUGGUGGAACUAGUAUAAGAGACUCAUAUUCAUGCUGAAAAAUGGGAAGUGAUGAAGAGCUAACAGUGGGAGCUGAAAUAGAUUUAAGUUUUUGAAAACUUUUGAUUAAGCAAGGAGGGCUCUUGUGUUUCCAAUAGUUGGAUGUACUUAUUUGAAGUAGAAGGUUAGACAAGAUAAUCCAGAGUUGGUGAUUAGAGAAUUGGGAGCAACGGAAAAUAAAUCUAUCACAAAGAUAUUGGCGUCGUAAAUGGAGCGGAGGCUCACAACACUCAACUUGCAUAGCAUUGAUAGGGCUUGAUUUCAUGGCACCACAAAUUAUUCUCAAGGCUUUAGAUUGAAUAUGAUCUAGUUUUUGGAAGCCAACGACAUAUCCAGGCUCUAACAAAAAUGUCCCAUAAUCUAAAAUGCUUCUUAUUAAGGCAUUGUACAUUAGUUUCAUACAAAAAGGAUGGGAACCCCACCAAACUCCAGAAACACACCUAAGGAUAUUAAUAUUUUUUUCACAUUUAGAAACUAUGUACUCACAAUGUGGGAGGCCUGUUAAUUUACUAUCUAAAAUGACACCAAGGAAUUUAGUUUUAUCUUUUACUGAAAUGGAGUAGUUAUCAAAUUGCACAUUGAUUGGAGGAGGAAAUAGUUUUCUAGUAAAUAAAACUACAACACUUUUAGGAACAGAAAGUUCUAAACCAUUAGAAUCUAACCAUGACCUCAAGAAACAUAAGGAACAAGUGACUGAUCUACUAGCCUGUUCAGGAGAAAGAUUUGAUGAAUAAAGUAAUAAAUCAUCGGCAUACUGUAAGACCCUAACAGUACCAUUUAGAGAUGACUCUAAAUCAGAUGUAUAGAUAUUGUAUAAUAAUGGACUUAAUACAGACCCUUGUGGUAGACCUCUCCACACUAAACGAGAAAUUCUAUUGUUGUCAUUUAUAAGACUGAUGGACCGUUCAGAUAAAAGGUUUAUUACAAAAUGACUUAACAUUUGUGGAAUGCCUAACUUGAAAAGCUUUUCCUGUAACACUGAAACUAAUACAUUAUCAUAAGCAGCACUUAUAUCCAGAAAAGCAGCUACUACUGACUCAUUUUUAGAAAAUGCCAGUCGUAUAUCUGCAAUUAAUAUUGACAAACUAUCAUAAGUAGAUCUACCUUUUCGGAAUCCAAACUGACUAUGAGAUAAUAAAUGGUUCUUUUCAACAAAAAAUUCUAGCCUGUUUUUAAUUAAGUGUUCAGCUACUUUUGCAAAUACUGAGGAAAGGGCAAUAGGGCGAUAGGAAGAAACAUCUGAUGCUGGUUUAUUGGGUUUUAAAAUAGGAAUAACUAUCUGGGAUCUCCAUGAAUCUGGGACUAUACCGGACUGGAUAACCGAAUUUAUUAUGCUCAGAUAAUAAGAAAUACAUCAUCAGCUGCUUCUGUAAUCACCCGGGCCAAAGCAACCGAGCAACCAACUACGUCAGUAUCAUCUUAACUAGGCAAAAACAAUAAUUUCUUCUCUACACAGCAUUUAAAGUUUUUCCAGUCAGCAUUACAUAGAUUGUAUUUAAGCCUAGGGCUAGGUUUCGGAGAUGGUCGUGUAGAUGAAGGAAAUGAGACUAUAAUUGGAAAAUGAUCACUACCAAAUGUAGAAUCUAGAGUUUGCCAGGUGAAAGAAGAUGCCAGUUCAGCAGAGCAAAUGGAUAGAUCAACAGCGCUGGGUGAUUCUGUAGGCGCUGUACGGCGAGUUGGAGAGCCAGUAUUUAGGACACAAAGAUUGUGAUCAUCUAAGAUUUUUAAAACACGAUGUCCAUUAUAGUUGGAUACUGAACUGCCCCAAAACUGAUGGUGUGAAUUGAAAUCUCCUAGAAUCAACAAGGGCCUAGGUAGAGAGGAAAUUAUUUGUUCUAAUUCAUUAAAAAUAGAAGAUGAUUGAUGAGGAAUAUAUACAGAGAGGAUGCAGAUGUUAUUUACAAUGGCAGCAAUAAUUGAAAAAUCAUCACUAUGAGAUGGGAGAUGAAGAGAUGAAAAUGAUUCAGAAUUCCUGACGAGUAAAGCUACUCCACCCCACCCGUCAGGACGGUCCUCUCUGAGGCAUGAAUAGCCAGUAGCUCUUAGAAGAGCUCCAGGCUUGAGCCAUGUCUCAGAUAGGGCAAAAACACAAGGUUUAAAUUUAUGUAGUAAAUGAAUGAAAUCAUGUUUUUUAUUGAUUAUGCUUCUGCAAUUCCAUUGUAUUAUAUUGUCCAUUGUUUUUAAUUGCAAAUGUAAGAGAGUCAAUCAUAGGGGCAACGUGGGACGGUAAAGUAAGGUUUGGCUUGGACAAAAGAGUUCUUAAGGCCUCAAUAGACUCAGCGAUUACUAGUC